rnacentral:rRNA from 1 species
AGCGAACGCUGGCGGCAGGCCUAACACAUGCAAGUCGAGCGGCCGUAGCAAUACGGCAGCGGCAGACGGGAGAGUAACACGUGGGAACGCGCCCUUCGGUUCGGGAUAACCCAGGGAAACUUGGGCUAAUACCGGAUACGCCCUUACGGGGAAAGAUUUAUUGCCGAAGGAACGGCCCGCGUCCGAUUAGCUAGUUGGUGAGGUAAUGGCUCACCAAGGCGACGAUCGGUAGCUGGUCUGAGAGGAUGACCAGCCUCACUGGGACUGAGACACGGCCCAGACUCCUACGGGAGGCAGCAGUGGGGAAUCUUGCGCAAUGGGCGAAAGCCUGACGCAGCCAUGCCGCGUGGAUGAUGAAGGUCUUAGGAUUGUAAAAUCCUUUCACCGGUGAAGAUAAUGACUGUAGCCGGAGAAGAAGCCCCGGCUAACUUCGUGCCAGCCGCCGCGGUAAUAC